UGGGGAAUAUUGCGCAAUGGGCGAAAGCCUGACGCAGCGACGCCGCGUGAGGGAUGAAGGCCUUCGGGUUGUAAACCUCUUUCAGCAGGGACGAAAACAGACGGUACCUGCAGAAGAAGCACCGGCCAACUACGUGCCAGCAGCCGCGGUAAUACGUAGGGUGCAAGCGUUGUCCGGAAUUAUUGGGCGUAAAGGGCUUCUAGGCGGCUUGUCACGUCGACUGUGAAAACUCGGGGCUCAACCCCGAGCCUGCAGUCGAUACGGGCAGACUAGAAUUCGGUAGGGGAGAUCGGAAUUCCUGGUGUAGCGGUGAAAUGCGCAGAUAUCAGGAGGAACACCGGUGGCGAAGGCGGAUCUCUGGGCCGAUAUUGACGCUGAAGAGCGAAAGCGUGGGGAGCAAACAGGAUUAGAUACCCCCGUAGUCC
rnacentral:rRNA from 1 species